rnacentral:rRNA from 1 species
GACCGAGGAGGCCACCGUUGUUCGGAAUCAUUGGGCUUAAAGCGCGCGUAGGCGGGCUUGUAAGUGUCUUGUGAACUCCCCCGGCUCACCCGGGGAACUGGAGGGCAAACUGCAAGACUUGAGGUCGGUAGAGGCGCCUGGAGCCCUAGGUGGAGCGGUGAAAUGCGUAGAUAUCUAGGGGAACGCCGGAGGCGAAAGCGGGGCGCUGGGCCGAUUCUGACGCUGAUGCGCGAAAGCGUGGGGAGCAAACAGG